rnacentral:piRNA from 1 species
UGAUGUCAAAGUCUACACAUUCCUGAGU